UAUUCUACCCUGCCGGGAAGGAUGAGAAGCUUCGACUAAGGUUCGAUUCGAGCGUAGCGAGAAAGCGUUGCCGCAGGCAACGACCCGAAGGGCGAAGCGCGCAGCGCUGAGUCAUCCUUCCCCCACCACCA
rnacentral:sRNA from 1 species